UGAGGAAUAUUGGGCAAUGGGGGAAACCCUGACCCAGCGACGCCGCGUGAGGGAAGACGGUCUUCGGAUUGUAAACCUCUGUCUUUGGGGACGAAGAAGGACGGUACCCAAGGAGGAAGCGCCGGCUAACUACGUGCCAGCAGCCGCGGUAAUACGUAGGGAGCGAGCGUUGUCCGGAAUUACUGGGUGUAAAGGGAGCGUAGGCGGGAUUGCAAGUUGGAUGUGAAAACUGCGGGCUCAACCCGGAGAGUGCAUUCAAAACUGCGAUUCUUGAGUGAAGUAGAGGCAAGCGGAAUCCUAGUGUAGCGGUGAAAUGCGUAGAUAUUAGGAGGAACACCAGUGGCGAAGGCGGCUUGCUGGGCUUUUACUGACGCUGAGGCUCGAAAGUGUGGGGAGCAAACAGGAUUAGAUACCC
rnacentral:rRNA from 1 species